rnacentral:lncRNA from 10 species
UUUGUUCUACACAUCUGCUGCUCUGUAUUCUGACCUACAUCUGCAUACUGCUUUAAUAGAAUGGAUGUUUGCAGACGUGACUGUGAUAUUGGAAUAUGGAAGGAUCCAUCCAGGGUCAGGAAGCAGCAGGCUGGCUUCAUUCUCAGUGUUUGUUUUCUGGGUCUUUGAAGGAGAGGUGUUGCAGGGAAAAAGGUCGUGCAUCAGGAAGUGUCAUUUAAAAAGGACCUGAGUUGGGCUGAGUUAUCAGCAAAUACACGCCAUGGCUGUGCUCCCCACCCCCCACCGUACACUAGCAGGGCAGCAGCUCUGAUUGUCUAACGAGCAGCAGAGCCGCCCAGCAGCAACCACAUUAGGAAGGAAUCGGAAACCAACGCUCCGCUGGCUGUCACCCCUUACCCACUUGCUGUCAGCUGCACCUGGGGGUGAACAUCAUCGGUGCUAAGACUUUUUAGCCUAUGGGGAUCUCUGCUGAGCACUAAAACCACGGGCUUCCCCUUGGGAAGAGGCAGAAAAUACACUUCCCAGGUUCUCACUGCCAGCUCUGACAGGCUGAACUGCAGUUGGAGAAGGAAACUGAGGACUGGGCUCCCUUCCUGUCUCCUAAGCCAGGGCAGAGCUGGGCUUCGGGUGAUGGCAGGAGACAGAGAAGCAGGUAACUUCCCUGGAGGGAGCUGAGCAGGGCAAGUCCCCUCUUCCAGGGACAUUCCAGGCAUGACAGAGGUGCACAGGCACAGAAGCCCUGCUGCUUCGGCAAGCUAGGCUGCUCAUAGCUGUGUCUACCCCUUCCCGGGACGUGGACUGUGGGGAGUGUCUAUUCAGGACCAUCUAGAAGAGUUCAGAGCCUUUCAAACUUCUUUUCAACAUGCGUUCCUGACUGAGGACACAGCUCAAAGCUGCCUCUCAGGCUUAGAAACACUUCUUAAUUUUCACUGUCGAGGGCUAGCUUUGAGUCAGAUCCUUUCACCUCAUCAAAAAGGGUGUCAGCACACAAGCGCUCCGAAAUUACUCGCUUGGCUUUCUGCUCAGGGUGACUGUGGUAAAGAAGUUACAGCCCACAGGCAAACCCCAGUAAUUGGCCUUGGCCUGGAGCCACACCUUGGAAGCCAUCUCCCAGCGGGAGUGAAAGGACUGUGGGGACAGGGCAUCAAUGUCUGCCCAAGGCAAAAUAGGGCGAACAGUAGCCUGCCUGUGGCACCCUCCCCACCUCUCUUCUAGAGCAGUAACCUUUCAUUUUCUCAGCCUCUGCAUGGGAAGUCUCAUUUAGGCUCCUUAGUUCACCCACACCUUGCUACGACAAACAAAAAAUGAUAACCAUUACAAUAUAUGGAGUCCUUACUACGUGAGCAGCACUGUAUAAGGUGUUUUCCAUGUAUCAUCGUGAUCUUCACAACAGCUGCUCAAGGAACGCAUCAUAAUGGCCCCUUUGGAGGGAACUACAGGGACCCAGGGAGGCUAAGCUACCCUUUAAGGUAAAACUGGCCAGGCCAGGAUUUGAACCCAAGCCAGCCUGACUCAACAGCAAGUGCGGUUUCCCCAACACUAUACCAUCUACCAUUCCCAGACUUCUCAGGCUUAGGCUAUGUCUGGUUUCUACGACAUCAUAAAAUAAACAUUAUUAAUUCAUGAAGAAGCAAAGGACGUGAGCCAUGGGAGUCAUUGGGUAGAUGAAUAUUGAAUGACUGAAUGGACCGGAGCUUCUGUCAGUUCCCUCUCAUCCAAAGACUCAGCACCUCCAAGGCUCAGACUCCCAGGGCACUGCUACCUCAGAGAUCUCUCCAGGCUCUGCUCACAGGCACUCACCCACUGCCUGACCUUGCAGGCUCCUGGAAUUAAGCCAUGAGUGGUUUCCUGUCUCUUGACAACAUCUACCCAGAACUCAGACUUUGGUUUUCCUUUGUCCCUAGACCACAGCCUGAGGCAGCCAAACCCAUUUCCUUGGGGAUCCAGCGCAAACCAGAGAGUGUGGACAGGCCGAUGGAAGAAUGUUGGACCAGCUUUAAGAAUGGGCUGUUCUAAGUCAUGAAUAUUGUAGGAAGCAGCUCUAAGGACCACAGGGCUGGAGGGUGCACAGGAAGGGGCCAGUGCAUACAGACAAAAUAUUACUCUGUCACCCAGACUGGAGUCCAGUGGUGUGAUCUCAGCUCACUGCAACCUCCGCCCCCUCAAGUCCAAGCCACUCUCAUGCCUCAGUCUCCUGAGUAGCUGGGAUUACAGGCACCCACCACCACGUCUGGCUAAUUUUUGUAUUUUUAGUAGAGACAGGGUUUUGCCAUCUUGGCCAGCCUGGUCUCGAACUCCUGGCCUCAAGUGAUCUGUCCACCUCAGCCUCCCAAAGUGCUGGGAUUACAGAUGUGAGCCACCACACCUGGCCUAAAAUGUCAUAUAUUUUGAACUGACUGACUUCUCCAAAAACUUAUGGUUAUUAGUUGAGAGAGAAAACUUGAGAGAAAGUUUCCCUGCACUUGGAUGAGAGGAGAGCGGAACAGCCUGCAUCUCUGGUGCUGGGGAGUAUCAAAUAAGGGGAAUUGGGAGAAGGAUGGAGGCAACAGCGUAGCUCUUUGCCUUUCAAAAUUAAAAUGGGAUGCUGCUUUAUAUUACAAAUCUAAGGAAUUAGAAGAGCAGCAAACUAAGCAACUAAGUUUGUUCUCCUUGCAUAAACUUUAAAAAGCCAGCUUAAAAGUUCUCAAGCUUAAAAUUCGAAAAAUGAAAACAAAUGCAUGGCAUGACAGAGGGGAUAAUUCCUGCACUUUUGGAAAUGUUCUCAUGUUUUCUUCAUUUCAUCCUAUGAAUGAAAAUGCCGUCAAAGGGGAAUAAGGCUAUUCGCAGAGUGCUCAUCACCACGGUAACCACUGAGCAUCUGUACCCUUUAGUAUCUUCAUUUUGAUUAUAAUAAAUGAGUUACGAAUCUAUAUCUGGGGCCCUAGUUAUAUAUUUGCCAUAUGUUCACACCACAUGCACACACACACACACACACACACACACACACACACACUCACAUAUAUGGUGACUAAGACUAAGAGUCAGCCUAAAAGAAGAAUGAUUUGGAGCGGGAGCUCUUGGAGGGAAUGGUAGGAAAAUAACAGGGAUC